GAUGAACGCUGGCGGCGUGCCUAAUACUUGCAAGUCGAGCGAACGGACGAGAAGCUUGCUUCUCUGAUGUUAGCGGCGGACGGGUGAGUAACACGUGGAUAACCUACCUAUAAGACUGGGAUAACUUCGGGAAACCGGAGCUAAUACCGGAUGAUAUUUUGAACCGCAUGGUUCAAAAGUGAAAGACGGUCUUGCUGUCACUUAUAGAUGGAUCCGCGCUGCAUUAGCUAGUUGGUAAGGUAACGGCUUACCAAGGCAACGAUGCAUAGCCGACCUGAGAGGGUGAUCGGCCACACUGGAACUGGGACACGGUCCAGACUCCUACGGGAGGCAGCAGUAGGGAAUCUUCCGCAAUGGGCGAAAGCCUGACGGAGCAACGCCGCGUGAGUGAUGAAGGUCUUCGGAUCGUAAAACUCUGUUAUUAGGGAAGAACAUAUGUGUAAGUAACUGUGCACAUCUUGACGGUACCUAAUCAGAAAGCCACGGCUAACUACGUG
rnacentral:rRNA from 1 species